GAUGAACGCUGGCGGCGUGCCUAAUACAUGCAAGUCGAGCGAACAGAUGAGGAGCUUGCUCCUCUGACGUUAGCGGCGGACGGGUGAGUAACACGUGGAUAACCUACCUAUAAGACUGGGAUAACUUCGGGAAACCGGAGCUAAUACCGGAUAAUAUAUUGAACCGCAUGGUUCAAUAGUGAAAGACGGUUUUGCUGUCACUUAUAGAUGGAUCCGCGCCGCAUUAGCUAGUUGGUAAGGUAACGGCUUACCAAGGCAACGAUGCGUAGCCGACCUGAGAGGGUGAUCGGCCACACGGGAACUGAGACACGGUCCAGACUCCUACGGAAGGCAGCAGUAGGGAAUCUUCGGCAAUGGGCGAAAGCCUGACGGAGCAACGCCGCGUGAGUGAUGAAGGUCUUCGGAUCGUAAAACUCUGUUAUUAGGGAAGAACAAAUGUGUAAGUAAAUAUGCACGUCUUGACGGUACCUAAUCAGAAAGCAACGGCUAACUACGUG
rnacentral:rRNA from 1 species